rnacentral:rRNA from 1 species
ACGGGGAGCAGCAGGCGCGAAACCUUCACACUGCACGCCAGUGCGAUAAGGGGACCCCGAGUGAAAGGGCAUAUCGCCCUUUCUUUUCUGAACCGUAGGGAGGUUCAGGAACAAGAGCUGGGCAAGACCGGUGCCAGCCGCCGCGGUAAUACCGGCAGCUCAAGUGAUGACCGAUUUUAUUGGGCCUAAAGCGUCCGUAGCUGGCCGCGCAAGUCUGUCGGGAAAUCCACCCGCUCAACGGGUGGGCGUCCGGCGGAAACUGUGCGGCUUGGGACAGGAAGGCUCGAGGGGUACGUUCGGGGUAGGAGUGAAAUCCUGUAAUCCUGAACGGACCACCGAUGGCGAAAGCACCUCGAGAGGACUGAUCCGACAGUGAGGGACGAAAGCUGGGGUCUCGAACCGGAUUAGAUACCCGGGUAGUCCCAGCCGUAAACGAUGUUCGCUAGGUGUGACACUCACUACGAGUGAGUGUUGUGCCGCAGGGAAGCCGCUAAGCGAACCGCCUGGGAAGUACGUCCGCAAGGAUGAAACUUAAAGGAAUUGGCGGGGGAGCAC